AUGGAGAGUCAAGUAAACGCUCGUAGCUAUCUCUUGUCUUCCCCUCUCCGAUCCAGCGCACCCUGCAGUCUGCAUUCUAAUCUAGUGCCAGACAGCAACGCCGGCCGGGAGAUCAUGGCGAGCACGGUGGUGAGCAUGGCGAGAUCCAUGCUGGGCGCUGUUAUCAGCGUGGCCGCCUCCGCCGCGGCCACCGAGAUGAGCCUUCUCAUCGGCGUCCGCAAGGACAUCUGGUUUAUGAAAGAUGAGCUAGAGACGAUGCAUGCGUUUCUGGUGACCGCUGAAGCAACCAAGGAAAAUAACAGGCUACUGCAGGUGUGGGCUAAGCAAGUGAGGGACCUAGCCUAUGGUAUUGAGGAUUGCCUUGAUGAAUUUAUGGUAUUGACGUUGAAAACAGAAUUCCCCCCGCUCCCUCCCGCCGCCGCCGCCCCUCCCGCCGCCGCCGGCCGUCGGCCCCGCCCCCCGCCUCCGCCCCCCUUCCGCCCUGCCCUGGGGGCCGGCCCCCCGGCAUGGUCUCGCUGUCUGCGGCGCGGUGAGGAGAAGGAGCGGCUCGGACUUGGGGCGUCGGCGCCGAUGGCGUGCCGGCAGCAGCGCGAAGGCGGGAGCUUUACGGGCCCAUGGGGGCUCGGCCGGGCCUGUGGGCCUACGGGCCUGGUGUGCUCCUGCUAUUGCGUCCGGACGGCUACUGUCGCUGACGGUGGAGGUGGGGCCCUCCCGCGUGCCGAUGGUGCUGAUGCCCUAGUCCCGGCUCUGAUUCUUCGUCGUGCUGUCCUCACUUUACGGUGCCAUGGUGAGACGGCGUGGAGGCCUCAUGACCGCGUUGGCGCAGGGUGGUGGUUGGUUUGGUGGCGGGAUCCGGAGCGCCCGAGGUGCGGGUUGGGAUCGGGGGAAACCCCUGUCGGCGUGGCCGACUCCGGCGCGGUGGCGCCUGUGGGUGCCGCCUGA
rnacentral:rRNA from 1 species